AUACCUGGCGGAUGCUUACACCUGCAUGUCAACGGCAGCACGGGAGUAAUCCUGGUGGCGAGUGGCGAACGGGUGAGUAAUAUAUCGGAACGUGCCCAGUCGUGGGGGAUAACGCAGCGAAAGCUGUGCUAAUACCGCAUACGAUCUAUGGAUGAAAGCGGGGGAUCGCAAGACCUCGGCGCGAUUGGAGCGGCCGAUAUCAGAUUAGCUAGUUGGUGGGGUAAAGGCCCACCAAGGCGACGAUCUGUAGCUGGUCUGAGAGGACGACCAGCCACACUGGAACUGAGACACGGUCCAGACUCCUACGGGAGGCAGCAGUGGGGAAUUUUGGACAAUGGGCGCAAGCCUGAUCCAGCAAUGCCGCGUGCAGGAUGAAGGCCUUCGGGUUGUAAACUGCUUUUGUACGG
rnacentral:rRNA from 1 species